UAAAACAGCAAUGGUCAAAGGAAAAUCCCCAAAACCAUUUAUUUUCCUUGAAGAGUCUUCCGUAUUAAGGGGGAGUUUUAUGUGUAUAAAUAAAUGCACAUUCUCUGGCUGUCUUUAUAACACCUUCUUUUAAAAGGAAAAAAUAAUCUUCAGAGAGAAAAUAAGGAAGGAAAAUCCCACUUCAUUUUCCUUCCUUACUUACUUUGCCAGAUUUGUAGAGAUCUUUUUAUACAUGUUUUUUUUUUAUUUUUUAUUUCUGACUCUCAUUUAGAUAGUGACAGUACAACAAGCAAAUGCUAAUGAUGAACAGGUGAAGACUUUGCUUAAGGGAAAAACAGUAACUUAAAAAGGUUCAAGAUCAGGAUUGUGUUGGUGCGAUUGAUGGAACAUAUAUAGAAGGGGAGGUUCCAAGAGAGGUGCAACAGGCGUAUCGUAAUCGCAAAGGAAGAACAUCACAAAAUGUCUUAUGUGCUUGUGAUUUUGAUAUGCGGUUUACCUUCUUUGCAGCCGGCUGGGAGGGCACGACACACAACAAUAAAGUGCUUGAGAAUGCAAUUCUUGAUCUAGCGGCACAAUUCUCAUUUCCUCCACAUGGUAUAUAAAUAUAACCGUCAGAUGCAGAAGACAACAUUUUUCAAGAAUCAUAUAUCCUUGUUAAACUCUUCCUGCAAGUCUCUUUUGUAAUUCUUCUCACUAUGUUAUUUUUGUUGAUAGAUAAAUAUUAUGUUGUUGAUGCUGGUCUUCGAAACACGAAAGGGUUUUAGCCUCCAUACAAAGGACUGCGCUAUCAUUUACAGGAUUACAGAGGGAGCGAAAGAGAGCCUCAGAACGCUAAAGAGUUAUUUAACUUUAGGCACUUGUCUAUGCGCAAUGUGAUUGAACAUACUUUUGGAGCUUGGAAAGUAGAUUCAGAAUACUGACACAAGACAUGAACCAUUAUGACAUUGAUACACAGGUGACCAUUGUCAUAGCUUGUGCAGUGUUACAAAAGUUUUUGCGAGAAUACCAAAGGAGUAAUGAAAUUUUUACGGAAUAUGAACAUGAUGACACAGUUGCUAAUGAUAUUGACCAACAACCGGCUCAAAGUAACAAUGUUGGUUCAUCUUCUAGGUCAUCUGAUCUAUAAAUGCAUGCUCGGCGUGAAGAGAUUGUUCCUACCAUGUGGGAGGAUUAUAUUAAAGAGAAGUUAACAUUACUAUUCAUGUUAAAUUUUCCUUUUUAUUAUUGAAUUAAAGUUUGAUCAAUUGAUGUUGUAUUUUUUAGAAAGGACUUCUAGUAGCGUAUUAAUUUUGUUAUGAAUUAUGACUUGCUCAUUUGGUAAGAUUGUAUAAGAAUUGAAAAAGU